rnacentral:rRNA from 1 species
UACACACCGCCCGUCACAUCACGGGAGUUGGUUUUACCCGAAGCCGCUGGCCCAACCGCAAGGAGGGAGGUGUCUAAGGUGAGGCUGAUGACUAGGAUG